rnacentral:rRNA from 1 species
GACGAACGCUGGCGGCGUGCCUAAUACAUGCAAGUUGAGCGCUGAAGGUUGGUACUUGUACCAACUGGAUGAGCAGCGAACGGGUGAGUAACGCGUGGGGAAUCUGCCUUUGAGCGGGGGACAACAUUUGGAAACGAAUGCUAAUACCGCAUAAAAACUUUAAACACAAGUUUUAAGUUUGAAAGAUGCAAUUGCAUCACUCAAAGAUGAUCCCGCGUUGUAUUAGCUAGUUGGUGAGGUAAAGGCUCACCAAGGCGAUGAUACAUAGCCGACCUGAGAGGGUGAUCGGCCACAUUGGGACUGAGACACGGCCCAAACUCCUGCGGGAGGCAGCAGUAGGGGAUCUUCGGCAAUGGACGAAAGUCUGACCGAGCAACGCCGCGUGAGUGAAGAAGGUUUUCGGAUCGUAAAACUCUGUUGGUAGAGAAGAACGUUGGUGAGAGUGGAAAGCUCAUCAAGUGACGGUAACUACCCAGAAAGGGACGGCUAACUACGUG